rnacentral:rRNA from 1 species
UACGUAGGGUGCAAGCGUUAAUCGGAAUUACGGGGCGUAAAGCGUGCGCAGGCGGUUGUGCAAGACAGAUGUGAAAUCCCCGGGCUUAACCUGGGAACUGCAUUUGUGACUGCACGGCUAGAGUGUGUCAGAGGGGGGUAGAAUUCCACGUGUAGCAGUGAAAUGCGUAGAUAUGUGGAGGAAUACCGAUGGCGAAGGCAGCCCCCUGGGAUAACACUGACGCUCAUGCACGAAAGCGUGGGGAGCAAACAGG